UUAACUCCAAACAUCCAGUCUCUGCAGUCUGAGCUGGAGCAGGCUAAUUAGAUGAAGAGCCCGAGAGCAGCAAGCUCGGCCACAAACAACCUCCAGACAAACUAAAGGGAGUUGUCAGAGGAGGGGGAGGCUGGAAACAAGACGGGCGAGGGGUCUGUGGAACUGCUACUGGGGGGACGGUUCUGUAUACAACACACUGGUUCUCCUCUCAGAGAACAGUCAACAAGUGGAAGCUGUGUCACUCUAAAGUGCUUGUACAGCAGAGGUGCUGCAGUGUAACAUAUUCAAAGGCCUGAUUGCUGAUUUAUUGCUCAUCUCCCUCCUUGUGUGAGAGUCAGCAUGGGCGUGAAGGAGGAGGUGCUGGAUGUUCUGCAGAAGUUGGCGGACAAACUUCAGGGUCUCCCACAGGCCAGCGGUCUGGAGCAGGGAGCCUUCUUUGUGCUCAUCUUGUUUGUUGUCAUGGUACUCUUCAUGGUCGGGCUGUCCUGUAGCCACUGCUGCAUCGGUGGAAAGCCAAAAUACCAGGCCUCCAGAGUUCAGCCUCUAGAGCCCAAAUGAGGAGGAGACCGACAACUGACUAAACACAGCCCUGUUACAAGACCUUUAUUUCAACUCUCAAAAAAAAAAGAAACGUUUCUCCUCACUGUCAAGGAGUUUGUGGAGGGAUUCAAAGGAAUUUCAUCAAGAGAAGUAUGGGGCCAUAUUCCCAUGAUAUUUCCAGUUCUGGCAUAAAGAACCAUAUCCAUGCUAACAUAUACAUCAACACAGUGGUACGACUCAUCAAGAUUCAUCAAAAACGGGGACAAUGAAACAGUGUGUGAGCUCUUUCCAACAACAAUGGAUGAAAGAUACAGAGAGCUGAUAUGUGCUUGAACGUCACACUGACUGUGUUAUGACAAAUUAAGUGGUUUGACAUCCUGUUGAUAUUCAGCAGGAAUGUGACAAACAAAAUGGAAAAGACACAGACAUUCACACUUAUACAGUCGAUUUGAAUUUCCUUGCUAGUUCCAUGUUUUCACAAGAAACUAGCUGGUGUAGAAAAUAAGAUCGCCCUCUGCUGGUCCAGUGAAAUAAUACAUUUUUGUACAUUUUCUAAAUGGAAAAUGAGCUGUUUGUUGUUUGAUAUACAAUUGCUUAUGUAUUUUUAUUAUGUUGUUACAUACAAGUGUUUAAUGAGGGAAAUGAAAUAA